UAGGCCUAUGAUGAAUAAAAGUUUUGCGAACAUUGUCUAAUUGUUUUCAAUGAAGAAAAAGUAUAUUUCUGAGGCCUUA
rfam:Helianthus annuus linkage group 5, whole genome shotgun sequence.